rnacentral:rRNA from 1 species
UGGGGAAUAUUGCACAAUGGGCGAAAGCCUGAUGCAGCAACGCCGCGUGAGGGAUGACGGCCUUCGGGUUGUAAACCUCUUUUAGUAGGGAAGAAGCGAAAGUGACGGUACCUGCAGAAAAAGCACCGGCUAACUACGUGCCAGCAGCCGCGGUAAUACGUAGGGAGCAAGCGUUGUCCGGAAUUAUUGGGCGUAAAGAGCUCGUAGGCGGUUUGUCGCGUCUGCUGUGAAAUCCCGAGGCUCAACCUCGGGUCUGCAGUGGGUACGGGCAGACUAGAGUGUGGUAGGGGAGAUUGGAAUUCCUGGUGUAGCGGUGGAAUGCGCAGAUAUCAGGAGGAACACCGAUGGCGAAGGCAGAUCUCUGGGCCAUUACUGACGCUGAGGAGCGAAAGCAUGGGGAGCGAACA